rnacentral:lncRNA from 1 species
UCUCUCUCUCUCUCUCUCUCACACUCCUCUCAAGUUUUGGUCUCUACUAUCAUAGUUAUUAAAUUGUAAAAGUGACUGACUUCAAGGAAAUCACUGAUUUUCUGUUUCGAUUUGUAAGUAGCACUGGGGCUACAAGAAAUACCAAACUUGACUACUGCCCAUAGUGUCUUGGACACGUAAGAGCCCUAAACAUGUCCACUGUCAUCCAAAGCAUGCAAGACCCAUGCCAGGAAGGAUGUGGGCGGUCCCCAGGAGAUGGGGGAGGGGUGGCAAACACAGAUAUGAAGAGAGGCAGUGGUCAGUAGCCCCGAAAGCAGCAGCAGAUGUCGACUGUCUCCUUGGGAGGAAGGAGAAGAAAAGGGAUGGAGAGCCCUCUGGCCCUGGAGCAGGAGAAAAUGGAAAUGUAGCAGAUGUAUAAGCUAAGCUGGAAGCUCUGCACAGAACUAGUUUGGGCCUGUCUCGGCAGGGACUUCUGCUUAUGAGACAUGAGCAUCAUGAAAGAUGAGCAAGAAAGAGGAAAAAAGAACAAGAAGGUAUGUGUAGUAAACAUUGCAAUGCCCCAUAUCCUCCACCCAAACUCUCCAUGCUCUAAUCCCUAGAGUCCAUUCAUAUGUUAACUUCAUCUCAAAGAGGAACUUUGCAGGGGUGAUUAAAUCAAGGCAUAGGGUGGGUCCAGUGUCAUCACCAGGAUUCUUAAAUGGGAAAGAGUGACGCAGGAGAGUCAGAGAAGAAACAUGAAAAAAAUGAGAGGAAAGUGAGGUGCUCUAAGGAAGGAGGAAGUUACCCCAGCCAAGGAAAGCAGGUGGCUUCUAGGAGGUGGAAAAGAUACAAAACAGUGUCUUUCCUAGAACCCCCAGAGAUAAUGCAGCUGUAACAAGGCCUAGAUUUUAUCCUGUAAGACCCAUGAAGACUCCUGACCUCUGGAACUAUAAAAUAAUAAAUUGAUAUUGUUUGAAAUCACUAAGUUUAUGGUAAUUUAUUACAGAAUAGGAAACUAACACAGCAUGG